rnacentral:rRNA from 1 species
GAUGAACGCUAGCGGCAGGCCUAACACAUGCAAGUCGAGGGGUAGAAGGAGCUUGCUCCUUUGAGACCGGCGCACGGGUGCGUAACGCGUAUGCAAUCUACCUUGUACAGGGGAAUAGCCCAGAGAAAUUUGGAUUAAUGCCCCAUAGUAUAUAACCUUCGCAUGUUGGUUAUAUUAAAGUUCCAACGGUACAAGAUGAGCAUGCGUCCCAUUAGUUAGUUGGUAAGGUAACGGCUUACCAAGACGAUGAUGGGUAGGGGUCCUGAGAGGGAGAUCCCCCACGCUGGUACUGAGACACGGACCAGACUCCUACGGGAGGCAGCAGUGAGGAAUAUUGGGCAAUGGUCGCAAGACUGAACCAGCCAUGCCGCGUGCAGGAAGACGGUCCUAUGGAUUGUAAACUGCUUUUAUACAGGAAGAAACCCUCCCACGUGUGGGAGCUUGACGGUACUGUAGGAAUAAGGAUCGGCUAACUCCGUG